rnacentral:lncRNA from 1 species
CUGGCAGCCCUGCCCCCCAGGCACCUAUGGCCCUGAGCUCGGGCUGAGCACCCUGCAAGGGUGUCAAGUCUGUGGUGGGGGCAGGUUCUGUCCGGUGGCCAACGCAACAGAAGCCAGUGGACAGUGUUGGGAGGGCUUCUUCUGCACCAGAGGCUCUACCCGACCAAACCCAGAGCCCAGCACUGAAGAGGAAGCCGGCCCUUGUCCUCGGGGAUACUACUGCCCGAGGGGCUCAGCUGUGUCCCAGCCCUGCCCACCUGGUACCUUCAACCCCUGGCUCAAGCUCAACUCUGAGGCUGCCUGCUCCCUGUGCCCGCCUGGCCAUUACUGUGGCUCUGCUGGCCUCACACACCCUUCUGGGCUGUGUAGUGAAGGCUUCUUCUGCCUUGGAGGGGCCAUCACCCCAAACAAAUCCCUGGAAGACAGGACUGGUGGCCCAUGCCCUGCAGGACACUUUUGCCCCCCAGGCACGGCCUCCCCAAAGCCUUGCCCAGCAGGCACUCACAAUACCAGGAUUGCUCAGGGAGGCUGUGAACCAUGUCCCCGGGGAUUCUUCUGCCCAGCCAACACCUCCUCCAUAGUGGGGAAUGAGUGUCCCACUGGCCAUUACUGCCCAGCCUCUACCACCUUUGCUUCACAGUUCCCUUGCCCCAGGGGCACAUACAAUCCACAGAAAGGCGCUAUCCAACAAUCAGACUGCACACUCUGUGAGCCAGGUAAGAGGCAGACACCCAGUGUCCACUUCCCACUGCCACAUUAGGCCAUACCCUCCUUGCCCAGUGAUGAGGAUCCCUGGGCCACAGUCCAAGGCAUUUUAACAGGUGGGGAGAUGCCCAAGUCCUCCACAACC